UACGUAGGUCGCAAGCGUUAUCCGGAAUUAUUGGGCGUAAAGAGCGCGCAGGCGGUUUCUUAAGUCUGAUGUGAAAGCCCCCGGCUCAACCGGGGAGGGUCAUUGGAAACUGGGGAACUUGAGUGCAGAAGAGGAGAGUGGAAUUCCACGUGUAGCGGUGAAAUGCGUAGAGAUGUGGAGGAACACCAGUGGCGAAGGCGACUCUCUGGUCUGUAACUGACGCUGAGGCGCGAAAGCGUGGGGAGCGAACAGGAUUAGAUACCCUGGUA
rnacentral:rRNA from 1 species